rnacentral:rRNA from 1 species
UACGUAGGGGGCAAGCGCUGUCCGGAAUCAUUGGGCGUAAAGCGCGCGUAGGCGGCCCGGUAAGUCCGUUGUGAAAGUCAGAGGCUCAACCUCUGGAGGCCAAUGGAUACUGCCAGGCUAGAGUCCGGAAGAGGCGAGUGGAAUUCCUGGUGUAGCGGUGGAAUGCGCAGAUAUCAGGAGGAACACCAAUGGCGAAGGCGGCUCGCUGGGACGGUACUGACGCUGAGGUGCGAAAGCGUGGGGAGCGAACAGG